rnacentral:lncRNA from 1 species
CGUACGGUUGUGUUAUAUCUCAUAUAUGACCCCUUCAUGUCCUAAGGAAGACAUUUUCUCUUAGAGGUUUUCAUUUUAGUAUAUCUUAAAAGAAUCUUGUGGUACCUUGCCUCCAUCUUUUUCUUGGGUAAGGACUACACUUUGUGUCUCUGAUGUUGCUGUUCACAGCUUUUCUUGAUAGGCCUAGUACAAUCUUGGGAACAGGGUUGCUGUGUGGUGAAGGUCUGACAGUAGCUAGGUAGCUACGCUGUGCAUUUUUAUUGGUAUACUAUGAAUUGUUCCAGAUACCUUCAGUUUGGAAAGUUUUCUGAGAAAUGGAGAC